GGUGCUGCUCACUUCGUCGUCUUCUUUUUCUCGUUGCCGUCGCUUCCUCUUCUCGGCUUUUCCAGAGCCUUCUCUUCCUCUCGUGAAUCACGGAUGCCGUGGCUCCCUCUCCCGUCUCAGCUCUUUCCUUCCUCUCUCUCCCUCUCUCCCUCUAUGGAUGCGGCAGGCACGAGCCAGGCCAGGGCGCGGGCGGACCCAGCGCGAGCAGCGGCCCAGCGUGGUUGGUGCUCCGGCACGGCCGGCGCGACCCGGCGUCGCCUCUCUCUCGCUCUCCUGGUGUCGCGCGGCGAUGCGCCGGCUGUGGCCGCAGCUGCCGCCCUCUCCGUCUCUCCCGACUCCGAUGUGGCCGUCGGUGUGGGUGCCCCCAACGUCCAUCUCGAUCUGAGAUCAGUGGUGGUGGCUGUCCAGCUUCACAAGGGAGUCGGAUUCCUGUUCUAGGGUUUUGGUUCCAAUACUUGCCUUCUGCUCCAUUGUAUGUCUUCUCUGUGUCAAUCUCUAAGAAAUAUGCUUCAAGCGAGUUGUGGCUGUGCAACCACCGGUAAGGCUGGAGACCAAUGCCCCCUGGUGGAUCUUUGUUUGUCAAGACGGAAUAUGAGGUCAUGGUCUCAUGGAUCAGAAAUAUU